UACGUAGGGUGCAAGCGUUGUCCGGAAUUAUUGGGCGUAAAGAGCUCGUAGGCGGUUUGUCGAGUCUGCUGUGAAAACUCGAGGCUCAACCUCGAGCUGUCGGUGGAAACCGUAAGGCUAGAGUCCGGAAGAGGAGAGUGGAAUUCCCGGUGUAGCGGUGAAAUGCGCAGAUAUCGGGAAGAACACCCGUGGCGAAGGCGGCUCUCUGGGACGGUACUGACGCUGAGACGCGAAAGCGUGGGGAGCAAACAGG
rnacentral:rRNA from 1 species